AACAUAAUAGACAUGGGGAGCCCCACAGUUAAGCUUAUAGAGCUACCAUAAUUUUUAUAAUGAAACUUGAUAAAGGUAAGCCCAAAAUAGAACAUAAUAGAAUGGGCCAGGUGCGGUGCCUCAUGCCUGUAAUCCCAGCUACACAGGAGGCUGAGGUAGGAGAAUCGUUUGAACCCAGGAGGUGGAGGUUUCAGUGAGCCGAGAUUGUG
rnacentral:lncRNA from 1 species